rnacentral:rRNA from 1 species
CCUACGGGAGGCUGCAGUGGGGAAUUUUGGACAAUGGGCGCAAGCCUGAUCCAGCCAUGCCGCGUGUCUGAAGAAGGCCUUCGGGUUGUAAAGGACUUUUGUCAGGGAAGAAAAGGCUGUUGCUAAUAUCAGCGGCUGAUGACGGUACCUGAAGAAUAAGCACCGGCUAACUACGUGCCAGCAGCCGCGGUAAUACGUAGGGUGCGAGCGUUAAUCGGAAUUACUGGGCGUAAAGCGGGCGCAGACGGUUACUUAAGCAGGAUGUGAAAUCCCCGGGCUCAACCCGGGAACUGCGUUCUGAACUGGGUGACUCGAGUGUGUCAGAGGGAGGUAGAAUUCCACGUGUAGCAGUGAAAUGCGUAGAGAUGUGGAGGAAUACCGAUGGCGAAGGCAGCCUCCUGGGACAACACUGACGUUCAUGCCCGAAAGCGUGGGUAGCAAACAGGAUUAGAUACCCGUGUAGUC